AGGGUUCGAUUCUGGCUCAGGAUGAACGCUGGCGGCGUGCUUAACACAUGCAAGUCGAACGGGAUCCAUCAGGCUUUGCUUGGUGGUGAGAGUGGCGAACGGGUGAGUAAUGCGUGACCGACCUGCCCCAUGCACCGGAAUAGCUCCUGGAAACGGGUGGUAAUGCCGGAUGCUCCAUCACAUCGCAUGGUGUGUUGGGAAAGCCUUUGCGGCAUGGGAUGGGGUCGCGUCCUAUCAGCUUGAUGGCGGGGUAACGGCCCACCAUGGCUUCGACGGGUAGCCGGCCUGAGAGGGCGACCGGCCACAUUGGGACUGAGAUACGGCCCAGACUCCUACGGGAGGCAGCAGUGGGGAAUAUUGCACAAUGGGCGCAAGCCUGAUGCAGCGACGCCGCGUGAGGGAUGGAGGCCUUCGGGUUGUAAACCUCUUUUGUUAGGGAGCAAGGCACUUUGUGUUGAGUGUACCUUUCGAAUAAGCACCGGCUAACUACGUGCCAGCAGCCGCGGUAAUACGUAGGGUGCAAGCGUUAUCCGGAAUUAUUGGGCGUAAAGGGCUCGUAGGCGGUUCGUCGCGUCCGGUGUGAAAGUCCAUCGCUUAACGGUGGAUCCGCGCCGGGUACGGGCGGGCUUGAGUGCGGUAGGGGAGACUGGAAUUCCCGGUGUAACGGUGGAAUGUGUAGAUAUCGGGAAGAACACCAAUGGCGAAGGCAGGUCUCUGGGCCGUUACUGACGCUGAGGAGCGAAAGCGUGGGGAGCGAACAGGAUUAGAUACCCUGGUAGUCCACGCCGUAAACGGUGGAUGCU
rnacentral:rRNA from 1 species